rnacentral:rRNA from 1 species
GGGGAAUUUUCCGCAAUGGGCGAAAGCCUGACGGAGCAAUACCGCGUGAGGGAGGAAGGCUCUUGGGUUGUAAACCUCUUUUCUCAGGGAAUAAGAACUGAAGGUACCUGAGGAAUCAGCAUCGGCUAACUCCGUGCCAGCAGCCGCGGUAAUACGGAGGAUGCAAGCGUUAUCCGGAAUGAUUGGGCGUAAAGCGUCCGCAGGUGGUUUAUCAAGUCUGCUGUCAAAGAGUUUGGCUCAACCAAAUAAAGGCAGUGGAAACUGACAGACUGGAGUGCGGUAAGGGCAGAGGGAAUUCCUGGUGUAGUGGUGAAAUGCGUAUAGAUCAGGAAGAACACCGGUGGCGAAAGCGCUCUGCUGGGCCGUAACUGACACUGAGGGACGAAAGCUAGGGGAGCGAAUGGGAUUAGAUACCCCAGUAGUC